GAUCAGCUGGUUGGUCUAUCUCGUCGCCGAGUCCGAAACAUAGCAAGGGCAAGGUCCGUGUCCCAUCGUGCUGUGCAAAGUUAUUUGGCUACUGCGUCAUGAAAUUAGGGUCAAAAACAUUUACCCGAUGAAGAAGCCAACAGUGAUGUCACGGCACAAGAUCCGUGCUCGUUUGCGGCCAUACACAUUAAGUGACAAUCAGUUCGGAGUUUAAGUACAGAAUCCUACUCUUUUCACUUAACCUACAGCAGGCUAACAUACCUACAUCAGUUUCUUUUAAGUGAUAAAGUGUACAAUAGGCCUGGCCUUAUACAAGAUGAUGGAAGCAGUUUUUGAAAGUGACUAUUCAAGAACUCAGUUGUUUCCACUACACAAUGCUGUGGCCAUGAGAAAUUUCAGCGAAGUUCAGAAUUUAGUUGAGAAUGGUUACAAUAUCAAUGAACAGCAUUAUGAUCGUGUAACACCACUGCACAUGGCAUGUCUCACUGGUGAUAUAGGAAUCACAGAGUACCUUCUUGAAAAAGGAGCAUGGAUUAAUGCCCAGAGUAUAGAUAACAGCACUCCUUUAUGUGAUGCUUGUGCUGGUGGAAGUGUAGAGUGUGUUAAACUUCUACUUAAUAUGGGAGCAGCUGUUAACCCACCUCUACUACUAUCCACCCCAUUACAUGAAGCUUCUCUUCGAGGGAAUACAGAAAUAGUUGCCCUCCUCAUCGCAGCUGGUGCUCACUUAGAUCCAAAUGACACUCAUUAUGGCACACCACUCCAUGCUGCCUGUUCCAUGGGAACUCCAUCUUUAUCCUGCAUCAGAUGCUUAUUAAAGUCUGGUGUGAAAGUUAAUGCCAUAAAGAAUCAUAAAACACCUCUACACUACAUUGCUAUGAACAGCAGAAAUGCAGAUGCUGCAAGGUUAUUACUACAGUAUGGUGCAGAUCCAUAUCUGAAAACUAAUUCUGGACUCACUGCACGUCAGAUAGCUGGACAAGGUAGUGAUAUGGCAAAUUUGCUGGCUGCAUUUGAACGUACGCCUAGAUCACUGGCUCAUUUCUGCCGUCUGACAGUUCGUCGUCAACUAGGUCCACACCGUCUGAAGUUACUCGAGAGACUAGAAAUCCCAGCAAUCCUUAUACAUUAUUUACAGUGAUGUACUGCAUUACCUGGAAACCAGUGGCAUGGAAGAGCAAGUGGACAAAUCAAGAGUAAAUUGUGAUCCAAAACUUCGGGGAACUUUACAUGAAGCCUCAUUGGCUUCACUGUCCAUAUGGUCAUGAAUUGGUUAGUGGGAGGCAAGGAUGAAAAAGAAGCUUGGGCUGUCUGAUAGGUGCAUAAGGAAAUUGAUGAUACAGAGUGACAUCUUUUAUCAGAGUGAGAUCAUCUGGAGACAAAGGAAUAGUUGCAAAAUCUUUCUCUACUUUUGUGAGUGGAAAAACACUGUCUUCACUUGUUUUUCGGAUGGCCAGAGCAUUUACCUGUGGAUGUGUCAUUAUUAUGUAUAUCAGACUUACCCACAUAGUAUAUGAGAGAUUUACUACAGGAAAACUGAUCUGUUGAUUGGAUUUAAAGUCAGGUUGGUCACAUCCAUCAAAAGGUUACCAAGUCUUUUUAAUGGAAGUCAGGAAGUGUAGGUAUGGGAAAAGGAUUAUAAGAUUUACAGUUAUUUGUUUAAACUCAUCCUAUGAACAGAGGCUUACCAAACACAUGUCAAAAUUUAUCUGCACCAUUUCUCACUUAAGAAAUAAAUGACUAUGGAGAACUUUGAAAGAAAUCUCAACUGAGUUUUUACCAACAGGUGAACAUGAGUAUUAUCUGUAGUAGAAAAAAUAUGAAGAGUGUAAAGAUGAGUAAGACAGAAAUAAGCUAUAAAUUUUUCAAUUCUGAUGAUAAUAAGUGUGUCAGUAGCUUGUUCAGUGUUGAAGAUGGUUCCUUCUCUUCUAGUACAAAGUAGGGCGCAAACAAGUAGUUAUAAAAAUUUUGUCAUCGGUGAGAUGUAGUUAGAAGUUGGGAAACAGCUUUAGGUAAGGUCAAGUGUAAAGCUGAAUCAGAAAUGGAAGAAGCAACUGCAGAACUAUAGAGAUACAAAGGCAGAAGAAAAACUGCCAGAAAAGGCAAGAUCAGCAUUAGAUCGAGACCUUUCAACACUCAUGGUCAUGGAGAGAGAAUUACAUUAUUAUUCCCAAAAUCAUGUCUACAAAGGCAAAAAGGGUUUCAAUGAAAUGAGGUUUGAAGGGAGAAUAGAAUAAACUUAAGGAGUCAUAUGAGGCUGGCUGCUUCAUUUCAUAUUAAAGAAUGGUAUUGCUAUACCACAGUUAAGAUGUCUUUAUGAACAGAAUUCACAAAGAAAUAUUAAGAAGAAUCACAUCUCUAUUACAUGCAAAGAAGUCAUACUUACAAUAUUUAUUGUCUCACACCUUGGAGCCACACUAUUAAAUAUGAAAAGUAUUAUCAUUAUUCGGUAGUGCUAUCAGACCAGUGAGUUAAAAUUUAUAACUCGUAGGGCUGGGCCAAAGGGUUUUACUUGGUUUUACUUUCUUUAAAAAUUUAAGAACAGGAUAACUGAAAAUUAUAUAGAAUCCGCCAAUCUUCUAUUUAGAUAAACAAAAUUAUGAAGAAUCUGAUACUGUUCUCUCAAAUGACAUUUGUUUCCCUAACCUGCCAUUUGUUAUUGGCUGAAAUUUGAAUAUUCAUGUAAACUGAGAAUACAGUAUACCUGUAUUCUCUGUUCAUGUGCGCUAUUCUUCAAAUAUCCAAGGGUCAACAAGUCUGACCAAUGGAUAGGAAAGACAAAAUUAUUUAAAUAUUUUUUUUCUGUGAAGAAUGCCAAAAUCUAACAUGGGGUAUGAUUUAUCUUAAAUUCAUCAAAUUCAUUGUUCCAUACAUAAAGCUUUCCCUUUACUGAAGAUGAAGGUUUUGGAGAUGUUAAUAAUAAUAAUUGAUAGGAAUGACAGCAGUUGAUCCGGUCAAAGUGUAGGUUUUGAAGAUUUGGCUACUUAACUGGCAUCUUCAUAUCUCUUAAUGCCACAUAAGCAGGAAUCAAAUAUGUUUCAACACUUACACCGGCUUCAUAUAUUUUAUGGAAUGAUAACUUGAUUCCUGAUACUUGCAGGUUGUACAAGAUAAUUUUAGUAAAAGUAAUGUGCAUUACUUCUUACAGGUUUGUUUUCCUUGAGUUAGGAAUUUACAAUAUUUCUUAUGGUAACUAUCAAAGAGAAAUCACUAAACAUUUAAAAGCCAUUAUACCACAAUUAAACAUAUAUGAUGAGAGUGGUUUAAAGAGCGCAAUGAUUGACAUUUCUUGACUUAUUGUGCUGGCCUGAACUAUGGAAAUUGGAGAAGGUUAAAAGAAGUUGAACACUUUGGCAGGAAGAAACUAAAGGGAUUGGAUGAAAUGUAAAUAGCAAUUCAGCUGAAGGGUAAAAAGAUCUACAAAGAACCUCUGUUAUCUACACUGUGCUGUGUAAAGCAUACUUUGGACAGUACAUUUUACAAGAGGUGUCCAGAGACAUGAAAAUAAUAGACACCUAAGAAGAUUUCAUCCCCUAAGCCUUGUCAGUACCUGCGUUGGCUAGCAUAAGUCUCCUUAAUAUCUUACCUUUGACCCAGAUGCAUGUUUGUUACACAUUUCUACUGGAUUUAAAGCAAAACUCAUGAGGAUGUAAGUCUGUAAGAGGUAUGAACUUGUUAAAAGUAUGUAGUCAUAUAUAUAUGGGAGUAUUUUCCUUAGUUAAAAUACAUUAUUGUAACAUCAAUCACUACAGUAGUAAGCAAGCAAAUAAGAUAUAUGCCAUUAUACAUAUACAUAUGAUUCAUAUGAAUAUGAACACAAAGUAAACUUGAAAAGCAAUAAUCGUGUAAAUAUAGACACUAAGAACCCUAAUGUCAGGUGAAGGAAAACUGGGGUGUAACAACUAAACCAUACCGAAACUUGUCAAAAAAAAGGAGAGGAAGAAAUCAUUAGUAGAAGCCAAACAGAAUAGAUGAAAUGGAACAGUGGAACAAAAUCAAGUUAAAGCUGACUAUGGCGGUACAUGUCUAUCCACACACACUCAAGAGGUGUUCCUUGACAUUCUAGAUAUUUUUUCUUCGCAAAUGUAAAUUCUAAGCAGUCGUUCUGUAAACAUUGGUAUACGGGCUCAUGUUGUAACAUCUAAUAUCUUAAAAAUCUUUGUUCAUUUAUCCUCUGUGGACAUGAAUGUAUGAUACUUGCCUUUUACAGUACAGAUAAGUCCUGUUUAGUUAUGUUAAACUAUUGGAUUUUUUAGUUGCUAUUUGUAGCUAAAAGGACAUCUCAUGUGUGACAUUCAAGAUGAUGACCUGAUAACCAUUUUCAAACACUAGGUUAUACCAUAGCCUCUGAGCCAUACUCUUGGUAUAGUGUUGAAUUGCACUUGAGAUUUCAGAAAGAAUUUAAAGAAUCUUCCACCACCAAACUUCAGGUUUUACGAGUAUGCCAUGGUGGAUUUAUAGAGUGGGGACUAAACCAGCUGUAUGCUAGCUUGGGUCCUUGUUCUUUCAAAAAUUAUUAAUCAUUUUGAAUAAAAUCUAUUUAAUCAUGCAAGAAAUACUAUUACUUAUAUACAUAGAGUCCUGUACAACCAUACAUAGUAGGCAUGGAGAUACUCUCAGAAAUAAAAUAGGUGCAUGAUUUCUAUACAUAUUAGAAAUUCUUGACACAAAAUUUUAACCAACUCGAAUCCAUUGCAUAUGCUUAAUAACAAGCCCAUAGGCAUUUCUCUAUCGUUUUAAUUAACAUCAGAUAUAUGACUUAAAAACCAAAAGUUACACUUAUAUUACUGCUUUAUAUCUUAAUCACUUGUUUGCACAAUUACGGUUGUUGCCCUUGGUGUAUAUAUAUCAUAUAUUGUACAAUGCAUUAUCAUUAUCAUAAAGAUCAAAACCGAGUAGCAUUUAAGGAAUCUCAUUGGGCUUGCCUAAAUGAUUGUCUCUUAGACAAAAGAUGAAAACUGGAUCAAUAUAAAGUUAAAGAAGUUGGACAAUUAGGUGGAAAGAGA